rfam:Camelus ferus unplaced genomic scaffold scaffold1378, whole genome shotgun sequence.
UUAAAGGCUUUAUUUAUUUCCUGAUCUUGAUCACAUCCUUAGAGAAAGAAAAAGCCACCAAAAAAAAAAAAAAAAAAUCCU